rnacentral:rRNA from 1 species
UGCGGCGUGCCUAAUACAUGCAAGUCGAACGCACUCUCGUUUAGAUUGAAGGAGCUUGCUCCUGAUUGAUAAACAUUUGAGUGAGUGGCGGACGGGUGAGUAACACGUGGGUAACCUGCCCUAAAGUGGGGGAUAACAUUUGGAAACAGAUGCUAAUACCGCAUAAAACCUAACACCGCAUGGUGUAGGGUUGAAAGAUGGUUUCGGCUAUCACUUUAGGAUGGACCCGCGGUGCAUUAGUUAGUUGGUGAGGUAAAGGCUCACCAAGACCGUGAUGCAUAGCCGACCUGAGAGGGUAAUCGGCCACACUGGGACUGAGACACGGCCCAGACUCCUACGGGAGGCAGCAGUAGGGAAUCUUCCACAAUGGACGAAAGUCUGAUGGAGCAACGCCGCGUGAGUGAAGAAGGUUUUCGGAUCGUAAAGCUCUGUUGUUGGAGAAGAAUGUAUCUGAUAGUAACUGAUCAGGUAGUGACGGUAUCCAACCAGAAAGCCACGGCUAACUACGUG